CCCUUAGAUGUUCUGGGCUGCACGCGUGCUACACUGAUAUUGCCAAUAUGUUAUUCUUAUCCGAAAUGGAUUGGGUAAUCAAGUAAUGAAAUUUCAUGCUUGGAAUCGGUAAUUGCAAUUUUAUCGUGAACGAGGAAUUCCUAGUAAGCACUAGUCAUCAGCUAAUGUUGAUUAUGUCCCUGCCCUUUGUACACACCGCCCGUCGCUACUACUGAUUGGGUGUUCAAGUGAGAUGCUUAGACCCUUGUUGCAUGGUUCAUUAUUGUGCUCCGAAAGGAAAAAGUUUCAAGCUUGAGUGUCUAGAGGAAGUAAAAGUCGUAACA
rnacentral:rRNA from 1 species